rnacentral:misc_RNA from 1 species
GGUCACGCUAGAUUAGAGAGAAUUAAUAAUGAUCACUUUUGAAGAAAGAUGCAAGUAGCACAGAUAAAUGAUGAAAUAAGAGGGUUCUUGAGAUGCUUUUGUCAUGUCUCAACCUCUAGAUGUAGCUGCUUAUAGGUGUGAAAUAGUGGGGAUAGAAGGUGUUAUAAAAGACUAGGUGGUCUAAAAUUAAAUUGAAAGAAGUCCUGAAUAACCUACAAUGAUUCGUGUAGACUUAGUAAAUAAUAGGACAUAAUGGAAAGGAAAAGAAAAAACCCAUACAG